UCUUAGCAAACUACACUUCGCGUGCUUUAAGACCCAGGAGCGCCCUCGUGGUCUGCAGUUGGCGAAGCCGACAGGUUCCCUAGCGGAAUGUCACAAUGGACUGCACCACCGAGAGCUGGCAAGGGGCGGGGGGAAAGAGAGAGAUAGAGACUUUUUAAACAUUAUCUAUAUGAAAGAUAUGCGGAUGCACUGAAUCCACAGUGCCGAAACAUGAGUGAGCCUACCAGCGCCAGAUCACCACCAGCUGAACAACAACAGCAGCAUUCCAGUGGCAUAGAUUUCCAAAGGCGUUUGCAUUUUAGUCUUGCAGCUUUAACUACUCAUCCUUACUACCCACCCAUACACCCCCGAGGAAAAUCGCUUUAAAGAACACUGACACAUGUACAUCGUACUUCUGCCAAAGGCGAUGGCGCUUUCCCUUCAUGACAUGCAGAGCUUCACCUGUUGAUUUAUGCAUAGCAAAUCCAUGUCAAAGUAGAAAGA